rnacentral:snRNA from 1 species
GGAUAUGAAGGGAUGGCACUGUGGUAUCUGUUACCCCCAUGACUGUCAGGGUUAAUCUUGCUGGCCAGGCAGCUGUCCCCUUCUUCUCUUACUGCUCCAUGNUUUUCCCUCUUGAAGGUGAGCUCUCAGUCAGUCAAANAGGACUGUUCUUAGGCCAAGGGUAUAUGAGGAGCUGUGCUCCCUGACAGAACAUCCAAACUAACUAAGUUUGCAUUUCAAAAACCUGAACGACUGUCCUGAAUCUGAAAAACAAGCCUAUCACUCUAUGAAAUACAGUAUAAUUGUUCCUUAUCUCU